GAAUGGAGGCUCCCAGGGUAAAGAGGUCUCCAAGUCACAGAGCUGUUGGAAAGGGCCACAGCCAUGGAUCGAGGAAGAGUGGAAACUCUGGGACCAUGGACCUCAGUUUCCUGAUUGGGUAUCUAUCAAGGGUCUCACAAGGUGCUGUUUGGCUCUGGAAGUUCAGUCUUUCCUCUGUUGGAUCAAAGGGCACAGACUCUCUGCCUACUGCUGCUGCCUUGUCAGGACUACAUCGCAGAACCCAAAGUUCCUAAAAGGCUGGUUCUUACAUUCAUGGCUAUGGCUUCCAAGCCAGAAAUGUUCAUCACCCCCAGUUCCUGCUCCUCAUCCAUCAGACCUACACUGGGAUCUCUAGAGUGGGAGCCACUGCUGUUAUGGAGCCCUGUCAAUAAAGGGGAGCAGAGUGUUCAUGGAGGCCUCCCCCUCUGAUCCCACUUGGACCAUGGUAGCGAGUUGGGGGCAAGACAUCAGAACCCUCCCUUGCUUCCUUCUCAGAGAGCUAGGCCCCUUCCUUGGGCUUGGCUCUUCAUAUGUCGCACCAAACAAAAUCAUGAAGCCAUUUGGUGUUUCUUUAAUGACUCUUAAAAUGCCUUUUCCCUCCAAUCCUCUGCAGUUCAUCUGACUCAGAAUGAGCUCAGUGCCAAGUGCUCCCUUGGGGUACCAGAAUGUGGGCCCUUCCUGAACGAGCCACAGAAUCUGAAGCCUUUCACUGGGUGGAGGGGGUGGGGUUCGCUUUGUGGACACAUGUGGUCAGACACCAGACAAUUCAUAAAGCCAAGGCCACAGGAGUCUGCUGAGAUCAAGACUCUCCCAGGAUUCCCCAAACCUCCCAAGACCAUCCAGUCCCUCAAGAGCAGCCAAGGAAAUACAGUGUUUGUAAGGCCAAUAGUUGUGAAUCAGGACUAGAACUAGUAUGGGCAACCAAGGCCAUGCCCAGGCUAAUAAUGGGGGCGUUGUGCCAGGAAUGUCGUGUCAAAUGUUUAACAAAAUCCACCAAGAUAUGACAUGUUUUUUAGUUUAAUCGGCGUGAAGAACUUUUUCUCCAUCACUCUCUUAAGUAUAAACAAUCAAUAAAAAAAAUAAGUC